UAGGUGAACCUGCGGAAGGAUCAUUAAAAAUGCGGCCGGUUCUCUUUCGGGAGGAUUGGUCAACAGAUUUAAUUCUAUGCUCGCUGAUGAUCGUCGGGUUUUCUUGAAUGCUCGCUGUAGUGCUCCUGGGUAUUGCUCUUUUUCCUUUGGGAAGAAAUCAGCUUGCAUGCUCGUGAUAGUCGCUCGUGAUAGUGAAAACAGAAAAUUGUUUAAAUGCUCGCUGAUAGUCGCUGGUGGAUCUCUCGGCUUUCGUAUCGAUGAAGAACGCAGCAAAUCGCGAUAUGUAGUGUGAUCUGCCUAUAGUGAAUCAUCAAAUCUUUGAACGCAUCUUGCACCCUUGGGUAUUCCUGAGGGUACGCCUGUUUCAGUAUCAUUUUAACUUCAUCUCCUUUCGAGGGGUUUGAAAAUGCUCGCUGUAGAAUGCUCCGUGAGAGUCGUCCGUAAGGCUGCUCGGAGAUUCCCGGAGAUGCUGCUGAUAGUCCGUCGUAGACCUUUGGUAGAAUUUAUUAGUCGCUCGUAGAUGAAUUGAAGCCAGUCUAGAAGCUAUACCGUCGAAAGACAACCCCAAAAACCUUGAUCUGAAAUCAGGCGGGAUAGUCGCUCGUAGAUGCUGCUAUCAAUAAGCGGAGGA
rnacentral:rRNA from 1 species